rnacentral:tRNA from 1 species
UCCCCCGUGGCGCAAUCGGAAAGCGCGUUCGGCUGUUAACCGAAAGGUUGGUGGUUCGAUUCCAGCCGGGGGCG